CAUAUCUUAUUAAUUAAUCAAACAAUGAAAAAUAUAUUUUAAUAAAUUAAAUUAUUUUUAAAAAUCUAUUUAAAUAGUUUUCUAAAAAUUAACAAAAAUAAUUCAGAUUUAAUUAAAAAAAACAUUAAACAUUAUACUAACAAACUUAAUAUUAAUAAAAAAAUUCCUAAAACGAAAUUAGAAAAAAAAAAUGUUUCUAUCUCCCUCAUCCUCAUCCUCAUCCUCGUAUUUUUCUUCUCCUUCUUGAUGCUAAUCAAAGCUCAAAAAUUAAAAACACCAAUCGAUUUGGUUCACGGGGGGAGUGGGACAUUAGAUCAAAGCUCAUGAUGUCGAUCUACUGCAGUUUGGGGCUUGUAGCCUUAGGCCUUCGAUGGGAGGGAAAACAUCGUAGAUUGGUGGAGCUCGAAGCACUUCAAUUCGGGACAACGACAAAGCUCCUUCCUGAUAGAGUGAUCUCUCGUGGGCUCACUAGUGGUGGAGGAAUCGAUUGGAUGACGAGAUCUGGAUUUCUACAGCUAGGUUGUGGGGAAGAAGAGGUCGACGAGGACGGGGUCGGGGAAGAAGAUAUCGACAACCAGACAUGAGUUUCUUGUUUUUGUUUUUUUU